AAUGAACGCUGGCGGCGCGCCUAAUACAUGCAAGUCGAGCGGUAAGGCCCUUUCGGGGGUACACGAGCGGCGAACGGGUGAGUAACACGUGGGUGACCUGCCCUCAGCUCUGGGAUAAGCCCGGGAAACUGGGUCUAAUACCGGAUAUGACUCCAUGACGCAUGUUGUGGGGUGGAAAGCCUUGUGCGGCUGAGGAUGGGCCCGCGGCCUAUCAGCUUGUUGGUGGGGUGAUGGCCUACCAAGGCGACGACGGGUAGCCGGCCUGAGAGGGCGACCGGCCACACUGGGACUGAGACACGGCCCAGACUCCUACGGGAGGCAGCAGUGGGGAAUCUUGCGCAAUGGGCGAAAGCCUGACGCAGCGACGCCGCGUGAGGGAUGACGGCCU
rnacentral:rRNA from 1 species